UUUUGUCAUUUUGGGCCACCCCACAGCAUAUGGGGCUUCUGAGCCAGGGCUUAGAUCCGAGCUGAAGUCAAGACCUAACCCACUGCGCUGGGCCAGGGAUCGAACCUGAACCCCAGGGGCUCCCAAGAGGCCGCCAAUCCCAUUGUACCACAAGGGGAGCUCCCCAAAAUACCAUAAUAUUUUAAAAGUACAGCUAAAUACUGGUUCUUCCUAGGGAUUGGAGCUUGUAUCAUUUUUUCAAGACCACUGCUCUUAUUGGCCUCUGGAACCAGAUGCAAUUCUGCUCCUUGUUACAUCAACACAGCCAAUUCUCGUCACCAUAGCUGUGUUUAUAAAGUCGCCAAGAACACUGAGUUAGCGAAUUUCCAGGGGAGAGUCAGGGUUCGGUUCCUGCGGGCCUCUGGAAACAACAUGUUUGUUAGCCAAUCAAUGUAGAACCUUGUUUUAUUUAUUUAUUUAUUUUGGGCAGGAUCCAAGGCAUACGAAAGUUCCUAGGCCAGGGAUCGAACCCAUGCCACAGCAGUGACCUGAGCCACAGCAAUGACAAGGACGGAUCCGUAACCGGCUGAGCCACACGAGAUCUCCUGAACUUGGCUUUAUGUGCGUUAAAGACACUGUACUGAAUGUGUACUGUUGAUUCACCCACAUUGAACUCACGGCCAAUCGCACUCUUAACUCAUGCCUGAAGGAAGCUUGCCUGACACAUAUUUUUCUCCAUACAUGGAAAAUACAAUGCCUCCCUUACAGCCUUCUUACGCUCAGGACACUAGAGAGCAUUUCAGCAUUACCCUUGGGAGGCAUUAUAAACAGCAUAAUCCCAACAAAACCAUGAAAAUGCAAAACAAAAAAGGCAUUAAAAAGACCACUGUGGGGACUCCCGUUGUGGCUCAACAGUAACAAACCCGACUAGUAUCCAUGAGGAUGCAGGUUUGAUCCCUGGCCUCACUCAGUGGGUUAAGGAUCCGGCGUUGCUGUGAGCUGCAGUGUAGGUCGCAGAUGUGGCUUGAUCUGGCAUUGCUGUGGCUGUGGUGUAGGCCAGCAGCUGUAGCUCCGAUUGGACCCCUAGCCUGGGAACUUGCAUAUGCUGCGGGUGCAGCCCUAAAAAGCAAAAAAUAAAAAAUAAAAUAAAAUGGGAGUUCCCGUCGUGGCGCAGUGGUUAACGAAUCCGACUAGGAACCAUGAGGUUGCGGGUUCGGUCCCUGCCCUUGCUCAGUGGGUUAAUGAUCCGGCGUUGCCGCGAGCUGUGGUGUAGGUUGCAGACGCGGCUCAGAUCCCGAGUUGCUGUGGCUCUGGCGUAGGCUGGCAGCUACAGCUCUGAUUCGACCCCUAGCCUGGGAACCUCCAUAUGCUGCGGGAGCGGCCCAAAGAAAUGGCAAAAAGACAAAAAAAAAAAAAAAAAGAAUAUAAAGCAGAAUAAUAAUACUAGCUAAUAUUGUUCUAGGCUUUUAAAUCCCAAACUAAUUUGUCCCAAGUUAAUAUUGUUCUAAGAACUUUAAAAAUGUCCAUAGACAAGAGUGAUUCUCAAACUUCUGGUCUCAAAACCUUUACUCAAAAAUUAUUCAGAGCCAGAGUUCCUGUCGUGGUACAUUGGAAACAAAUCUGACCAAGAACCAUGAGGUUUCGGGUUCGAUCCCAGGUCUUGCUCAGCGGGUCAAGGAUCCAGCGUUGCCGUGAGCUGUGGUGUAGGUUGCAGAUGAGGCUCGGAUCCCACGUUGCUGUGGCUCUGGCGUAGGCCAGUAGCUACAGCUCCGAUUAGACCCCUAGCCUGGGAACCUCCAUAUGCCGCGGGAGCGGCCCAAGAAAUAGCAAAAAGACCAAAAAAAUAAAAAUAAAAAAAAUAAAAAUAAAAUGUCCAUUGAGGGACAUGACUUAUAGUGGGAUAAUACGUGCCUCCUGUUAUGAGGCAAUUGAAAUACACAAUAGCAUCUAGAGGUAUUAUUGCAAUAAAGUUUAACCUGAAUUUAAUCAGGCUUCGAGAAAGUACAUGUCAUUAAAAAUAUAAUGUGAGCCACAUACGUAAUAUGAACAUUUUUGGUAGCCACGUUUAAAAAAUAAAAAAAAGGAAGUUUCUUGGUGGUAUGACACACUAAGGAUUUGGUAUUGUCACUGCUGUGGCUGCGUCACUGCUGGGGCCCUGGCCCCAGAACUUAUGCAUGCCAUGGGCAUGAUCAAAAAAAAAAGGAAAAACAAAACCAAAAUUCACAGGUGAAAUUUAAUAUUAUACUUUAAGACAAAAAUAAUAAUAUACUUUAACAUAACAUAUCCAAAAUAUUAGUGUUUCGACAUGUAAUCAAUAUAAAAAAUUAAUAUUUUACAUUCUUUCUGUACAGAGUCUUCAAAAUUCAGGAUGUAUUUUUACACGUACACACAUUUCAAUUCAGAUGUUAAAUUUUCAUCGGAAACACUCGAUCUAUAUUUAGAGUUCAUAAAUUUACAGUUUGAAGAAGUAGAUUUGCAUACUCAAGUUGUUCCAAAAUACUUAAGAUUUUUCCAAUAAUGGAAGUGAAUGAGAUUUUAAAGUUAAAUUCCAGUUAAUUUAAAUUAAAUUAAAUUUUAAAACCCAGUUUCUAAAUUGCAUUAGCCACAUUUCAGGUGUUCAAUGGCUACAUAUGGCUCAGUGGCCACCAUACUGGACAGUGCAGUCCUAGACUUUAUAAGAAAUAAAAGGGAUGGCUCAGCAGGAAUGAACCCGACUAGUAUCCAUGAGGACGUGGGUUUGAUCCCUGGCCUUGCUCAGUGGGUUAAGGAUCCAGCGUUGCUGUGAGCUGUGGUAAAGGUCACAGACGCAGCUUGGAUAUGGGUUGCUGUCACUGUGGUGUAGGCUGAUGGCUGUAGCUCUGAUUCGACCCCUAGCCUGGGAACCUCCAUAUGCCGUGGGUGCAGCCCUAAAAAGAAAGAAAAUAAAAUAAACCAUUACAGACUGGACCAAGAGGAGACAAGCUCCAGGAGAGAUGCCUUUAAAGAAAAAAAAAAAAAAAAAAAAAAAAUAUACAUAUAUAGGCAGAUCAGGCAAUGUUUUCCACUAUAUUAUGCAGAGUUUUUUGACUCUGUAGGAGAAUUUUGAGAGGAAAAUUAGUGAUAGGUACCUUCAGUAAUAUCUUGAUAAGCCAUCUGUCCGAGAAGAAAAAGAAAGAAAGAAGCCCUGAUUUGUAGAAUUCAUUAAUUCUGGGGCACAAUACUUCCAUUAUGGCCAUAUUCAAGCUACCAACAUGAAGUCACUGAACACAGAGUUGGCAAGUGAUGCCCACAACUGGCUCUUUAUCAUUAAUUUUCUUCUCAAAAUUCUCCCACAGGGUCGAAAAAUUCUUUAGAGCCACUAAGGGAGGGAAAAAAAAAAAGCACAUACAUGAACCAAAUGAGUAUGAUAUGCUAAAAUUUAGGUAAUCUUUUAUGAAAAAAGAAAAGGAAAGGAAAGUAAGGAAAGAGAGAGGGAGGGAAGGAAGGAGGGAAGAGUCAGUAAGAGCUAGCUUCAGAGUUCCCGUCAGAGCACAGCAGAAACAAAUCUGACUGGGAACCAUGACAAUGCAGGUUCAAUCCCUGGCCUCGAUCAGUGGGUUAAGGAUCCAGCAUUGCUGUGAGCUGUGGUGUAGGUCACAGAUAAGGCUCAGAUCCCAAGUUGCUAUGGCUGUGCCGUAGGCCAGCAGUCUCUGCUCGGAUUUGACCCCUAGCCUGGGAACUUCCACAUGCCAUGAGUGCAAGAGCUAGUUUCAACAAAAUUUAGCAAAUAAAGCAAUUAUUAACUCCAGGAAAAAUUUAAAGUUUUACAAGAAAUGAAAUCAUAGUACCCCACAUGACUCAGCUACACCAAUUACACUGCCUUAAUAAUGUAUAUACUGCAGUCUCCUUUGUGGCUCAGGGAUAAUGAACCUACCUAUGAAGAAGCAGGUUCAAUCCUUGGUCCCCUCAGUGGGUUAAAGGAUCCGGCAUUGCCAUGAGCUGUGGUGUAGGUCUCAUGACAGAUAGGCUUCAGAUCUGGUGUUGCUAUGGCUGUGACGUAGUCCAGUGUCUACAGCUCUGAUUCGACUUCAUAUGCCCCAAGUGAGGCCCUAAAAAGACAAAAAAAAAAAAAAAAAAAAUCCAAAAAAAAAUAAAAGCUUAAAUUAUAGAAAAUUUAUAAAAGAAUGGUGAUAGGAAAAUUACCUCUUGAAAUCUGUAACAACAUAUGAUAAAAUGAUUUUCAGAGGAAACUUUAUAGCCUUAAGUACAUUCAUUAGAAAUCAAGAAAGAUGAAGAAUAAGUGAUUUUAGUCAAUUCAAAAAGCUAGGAAAAAAAAACAAUGAACUAGACAACCAUGCUGAUAGAAAAAAAUGUAAAAUAGAAAAUAGAAAAAAUAGCCUUGGUCAAUAAGACUAACAGUUGUUCUUUCAAGAAAUAGGAAAAGAUGGGAGUUCCCAUUGUGGACACAAGAUCAAAAGCCAUAAAAUAAAACAUUAAAUAUUGGACUUCAUUUAAAAAAAAAGUUAGGAUGUUUGAAAAAUGAAAGACAAAAUUGGCAAAUGAUUACGGAAAAUAUUGAUUACGAAUAUUAGUUAAAAGCCAUAACUGCAGACAGAAAACAGUAUUUAAUAUCUUGUAAUAAACUAUAAUGGAAAAGAAUCUGAAAAAGAGUAGUUAUAUAACUGAAUCACUUUGCAGUACACCAGAAACUAACACAACAUUGUAAAUAAACUAUACUUUUUUUAAUUUUUCUUGUCUUUUUACGUCCUUGUGAAUGCUAGUCGGAUUUGUUUCUGCAGAGCCGCAACAGGAACGCCCAUACUUCAAUUUUUUUAAAAAAGCCAUAAUUGUAAAGAGCUGCUAUAAACUAAGGAGAAAAUCACAAAUUUUUUAACUCAUAAAUGCUAUACAAAGGUAAUUUUUAGGAAAAAAAGGACCAAUAAACAUUUGAAAGAAUGCUCAACCAUACUGGUAAUCAGGAAAGUUUAAAGCAAUAAAGAUACCAUUUUUCACACAUCGGAUCAAGAAAAAUGUUCAAAUAUGAUAAUACGCAGUGUUAAAAAUGUUGUGAGGAAAUAAGCACUCUCUCUCAUACAGUCAGUGUGUAUUACAGUUUUGAAUGUGCACACCCCUUUGAAUCAGGCUACUUCCAGAAAUCUAUCCCUACAGAAAUACUUGAAUCUAAGAACAAGGAUGUAUGUGUACUCACUGAACAUUUUUGGGGGUUAGAUUAAUUAAAAAAAGGAAAAAAAAAAAAAGAAUCCUGCUAGAUCAAUCAAAAGUUAAUGAUUCAAGGAUUGCUGAACAGUCUUUAAAAUGAAUGAGUAAAUCUCUAUGUACUUACAUGAAAAAAUUUCAGCACAUAGUGUUAAGGUUAAAAGUAAAUUACUGAAUGCAAAUUACAUACCACAACCUUUAGACAUGCAUGUGUCAUAUACAGACAGACACACACGUAGGGCAGCAGGUAUGGUAUAGCGAGACUUUCACUUUUUGCCCUGUAUUCCAGGGUUAAUUAAAAAGAAAAAAAAAAAGAAAGUAGUUUGGAAAGAGAUGUAUUAAACUGUUAGUUGUCUUUACCUUAAAUAGGGGAGAAAAAAGGAAUGAAAGCGAAAGAGAUCUUUUCAUUCUAAAAACUUUGAGAAUAAUUUUUAAAAAACAAACAUGCAAGUUCAUGCCAUUUUUGUGAAAUUAUUAUUGGUAUAAAGAAAUAACAACAUAUGAAAAUGCUUUGCAAAGACAAGUGAAAUGGACCCUAGGUUAGUUUACCUUAGCAAUUUUUCAAAGUCUCAGCAAAAAAUAAAAUAGGAUGGCCAUGGAAUUUUUCCAAUUCUCCUUCCUUUACAACAUAAUCAGGAAUGACUUCAAAUGUAAUUAUGGAAUUACACUGCUUCACUCUUUAAGGAAUAUUCUGCCUUAAAUAUUACCUUCCAGACCAAGAGUUCAAAGCAUAGUUACCGCACAGAUUUUCAGAUGAGAGCCCCAAACUGGCAGGAUGGGGGGACGGGGUGGAAAGAGUAGGGGAAUGACAUUUAUUCUAUGUCCUAAUUAAUAGUAGAGCGGUAUGUUAGAGCAGUUUAAUCUAACCAAAAGUUACUUAUUUUUAAAAAUAACUGUCACACACAAGUCAUAAAAUGCGAUUGUUGGAAGAUUGUAGUAAAUGAUGAUGAACGUAUAAGGAAUAAGAAAACGCUCGACAGCUGACAGCAAAUAACCGCCUUAUCCAGCCGCAGCAUGACUCUGCACCAUGACACACUCUAAAGCUUGGGUAUUUUCCCAGGAGAAUACGCUGAAAUACAAAGGUCCACAAAGAGAGGAGGCAUAAAGAUUUGGAUAGGGACAUUUUCUUUUAGGGUGGACAGAAAAAAAAAAAAAAACAGGAAAAGGAAUUGCACUGUUUAAAGUGCUGAGAAAAUGGUCAGAGCCCAUCUGCCACCCAAGAGGCCCACACGCAGAUUUCACGUUAAGCCGCAGUCCUGGGGAGCGAGCAUCCGUGGACCACCACCCAGCGUACAAGGACGCGCGUCGCAGCCUUUUCCCACUUGGCCCCGCCCGCCUCCCUGCCUGCACGGCGGGCACAGACGUCCUGACGCAUCCGCAUUGACGAGCUGCUCCCUCCAUUUUGUCCCCAGUCUCCUUCAGGCGCACCGAGCGGCGCUAUUUUAAAGCCACUCCCAGAUGGAACCAAUGCAGGGAGGCGGCGGAGUGGGUGCGGGACCACGCUUUGCCGGAGGCCGGCACUCGGGGAUAAAUGACGGCUGGUGCUGGUGGAGCUGCCUGGGGCGCCCAGGGCUCGACCCGGGCCGGAGGACAAAGGACACAGAGGGGACGCGGGCCGCAUGCCAGC
rnacentral:lncRNA from 1 species